GACGUAGGGUCCUAGCGUUGUUCGGAAUUACUGGGCGUAAAGAGUAUGUAGGCGGGUUUGCAAGUCAGAUGUGAAAGCCCACGGCUUAACCGUGGAACUGCAUUUGAAACUGCAGACCUUGAAUAUGGAAGAGGUUAGCAGAAUACCUGGUGUAGUGGUGAAAUACGUAGAUAUCAGGUGGAAUACCUGCGGCGAAGGCGGCUAACUGGUCCAAUAUUGACGUUGAGAUACGAAAGCGUGGGGAUCAAACAGGAUUAGAUACCCUUGUAGU
rnacentral:rRNA from 1 species